rnacentral:lncRNA from 1 species
UGCAGCUAAGGCUGGGACAUGCAGACCCUCCAUAAAAUCAAAGCAGAUUUGUGUUUGGCUGGCUGACAUGGCAUGGAGCUGAGCCCUGCCUGGUCUCCCAAGGCUGGACGGGGGAGACCCAGACUUGGAACAGGACCCACCUACCAGAAAGGGAGCAGGAGCUCCAGGCACGCUCAGCUUCUGGUGCUUGGAGAAGCUUCAGUCUGGCAGGAAAGCUUGUGUCUGUGGGGACCACAGUGAUGGUGGGAAACAGAAUGUGUGGGGACAGCUGCAACAAGUCUCACCUUGUCAGAGGGGAGCUGUCAACUUUGGCAGAUGCAUUUGGGCUCAGCUCACAACUCCUCGCUCCAGGACCCAAGCAGUCAGAGCAGCAACCUUCUUGAACACUGCCGGUUGCCAUGGCAGGAGAAAAGAAACAACUCUGAAGAGUAUUGCAUUGGCAAUUAAAUGCUUUGAUUUGAAAGUGGC